rnacentral:rRNA from 1 species
GAUGAACGCUGGCGGCGUGCCUAAUACAUGCAAGUCGAGCGAACGGACGAGAAUCUUGCUUCUCUGAUGUUAGCGGCGGACGGGUGAGUAACACGUGGAUAACCUACCUAUAAGACUGGGAUAACUUCGGGAAACCUUAUCUAAUACCGGAUAAUAUUUUGAACCGCAUGGUUCAAAAGUGAAAGACGGUCUUGCUGUCACUUAUAGAUGUAUCCGCGCUGCAUUAGCUAGUUGGUAAGGUAACGGCUUACCAAGGCAACGAUGCAUAGCCGACCUGAGAGGGUGAUCGGCCACACUGGAACUGAGACACGGUCCAGACUCCUACGGGAGGCAGCAGUAGGGAAUCUUCCGCAAUGGGCGAAAGCCUGACGGAGCAACGCCGCGUGAGUGAUGAAGGUCUUCGGAUCGUAAAACUCUGUUAUUAGGGAAGAACAUAUGUGUAAGUAACUGUGCACAUCUUGACGGUACCUACCCAGAAAGCAACGGCUAACUACGUG